GAUAAACGCUGGCGGCGUGCUUAACACAUGCAAGUCGAACGAAGUUUUUCCUUCGGGAGAAACUUAGUGGCGGACGGGUGAGUAACGCGUGGGUAACCUGCCCUGUACAGGGGGACAACAGCUGGAAACGGCUGCUAAUACCGCAUAAGCCCUUAGCACUGCAUGGUGCAUAGGGAAAAGGGGCAAUCCGGUACAGGAUGGACCCGCGUCUGAUUAGCCAGUUGGCAGGGUAACGGCCUACCAAAGCGACGAUCAGUAGCCGAUCUGAGAGGAUGUACGGCCACAUUGGGACUGAGACACGGCCCAGACUCCUACGGGAGGCAGCAGUGGGGAAUAUUGCAAAAUGGAGGAAACUCUGAUGCAGCGACGCCGCGUGAGUGAAGAAGUAUUUCGGUAUGUAAAGCUCUAUCAGCAGGGAAGAAAAUGACGGUACCUGACUAAGAAGCACCGGCUAAAUACGUG
rnacentral:rRNA from 1 species